AAUACAGAACUGGUUCAAACCGGUUUCGUUCUUAUAUUUCAGUGUAUAAACUACAAAAACAUUCGUUUGCAUUAUACAUUCGCCAUUUUACUCAGCAACUGGUCGGUUGUCGUGUUGUUAUCUCUCCGGAAAGCAAAAAAAAAAAAAAGCAGCCCCGUUUUUUACGGUUAUAUCUUUGUGAGCUCUCAGUUCAUCCCCGUCAGCAACAUGGUUAAAACGAAGAAAAGCACUCCCCCUGAGGAAAGAAGAACUUCCCAGCGACUGGCGAAGAAACCUAAACCUGCAGCAGUGGAGAAGAAGAAGGCUGUUGCAAAGAGGGCACCCAAAGCAAAGAAGCCCAAACAAGCUGAAAAUGGGAGCACCAAGGCUGAGGAGCCAAAGGCUGAAGCCACUGACGCCAAAUGAAUAACGGUUCAUGUGCUCACUCUGUGUACUUGGUGAUUGUACAGUUUUAAAUAAGUAUUUUUUACCAAGUUUUAUAUUACAAAUGUCAUUUAUAGGUUUGUUUUGGGCUUGCACUUGAUGUAACAAAACUUUGUUGUCACAUUCAUAUCCAUUUUAAAAUGAUUACCGUCCAUAUCUUGUAGACGUGGCAUUUUUAGAUAGUCUAAUUCUUUUUUGUUUUGUUUUAUUUUUUGUUUUUACUGCUGAGUAAUAGAUAUUUUCCAACAAGUUGGAUUUUGAAUCUAAUUUUGAACAUUAUAAGGCAGCUAAAGCAUAUUGUUAAAAUUUGAGGAAGAAUAGGAAUUUAGCCUUUUAUCUCCUUGUAUUUUAAUGUUUAACUAAUAAAAAAAAAUUGCUUACCAAAUGUUUUGAAACACUGUAUGUUGACAUGAGAUCUAGUCAUUGAAAAUGCCACAGAAAAAUACUGUUAUUAGGUCAAAAGUUUGAUACAUCCCAAAAAACGUAUGAUGUGAACCCGGUCAUCUGAUGAAAAGUUAUGUUAAGUUAUGUUUCUGUUAGGGGAAAAGGACGCUUUUCUGACUUCAAUGGUUGAUCUAAAUGUUCUUGAAUAAAAAUUGUCAAAAUGUC